rnacentral:RNase_P_RNA from 1 species
UGGGUCGGUGAGACGGUCGCGUCGCGUUCGCUUCGGCGGGCGCGCCGAGGAACGUCCGGGCUGCACAGAGGAGAACGGUGGGUAACGCCCACCCGGGGUAACCCGCGAGAAAGUGCAACAGAAAGCAGACCGACCGCUCCGGUUCGCCGGGGCGGCACGGGUGAAACGGUGGUGUAAGAGACCACCGGCGUCCGUGGUGACACGGGCGGCCAGGUAAACCUCGUUCGCAGCAAGGCCAGACAGCAGGCGUUGAAGCUCCUCGCCGAGUCCGCGGGUAGGCCGCUAGAGGGUGUCGGCAACCGGCACUCCGAGAGAGAUGACCGUCACCGCCCGGUUUCGGCCGGCGAGACAGACCCGCGUAUGAUCCGGCCCAAUUC